GAUGAACGCUGGCGGCGUGCUUAACACAUGCAAGUCGAACGGGAUCCAAGGGGUGCUUGCACUUUUUGGUGAGAGUGGCGAACGGGUGAGUAACACGUGAGUAACCUGUCCUUUUCUUUGGGAUAAGCAUUCGAAAGGGUGUUUAAUACCUUAUGUUCUGUCUGCCUCGCAUGGGGUGGGUGGGAAAGGCUUUGGCCGGAUUUGGGUGGGCUCGCGGCCUAUCAGCUUGUUGGUGGGGUGAUGGCUUACCAAGGCUUUGACGGGUAGCCGGCCUGAGAGGGUGGUCGGUCACAUUGGGACUGAGAUACGGCCCAGACUCCUGCGGGAGGCAGCAGUGGGGGAUAGUGCACAAUGGGCGAAAGCCUGAUGCAGCGACGCCGCGUGGGGGAUGAAGGCCUUCGGGUUGUAAACUUCUUUUGCUCUGAACAAGGCAUGCCAGUGGGUGUGUUGAGUGUAGGGGUUGAUUAGCGCCGGCUAACUACGUG
rnacentral:rRNA from 1 species